rnacentral:rRNA from 1 species
UACGAGUGCCCCAAGCGUUAUCCGGAAUCAUUGGGCGUAAAGGGUGUGUAGGCGGUUGUGUUAGUCUUUUGUUAAAGCUCUCGGCUUAACCGGGAAGAUGCAAAAGAAACGGCACAACUAGAGGAUGCGAGAGGUGAAUGGAACUCAUAGUGUAGGGGUGAAAUCCGUUGAUAUUAUGGGGAACACCAAAAGCGAAGGCAAUUCACUGGCGCAUUCCUGACGGCUGAGACACGAAAGCGUGGGUAGCGAAUGGG